GGAACAUUCUUAAUUAAAGUUUAAAUCUAAUUUUAAUUAUUAUAUUAAUUUAUUAAUUAAUCUAAUUGAUGUAUUUUAAGUUAUUAUCUAUUGCUUAAAUUGUUAAAUAAAUAAUUAAUCUAUUAUUUAUGGUUAAUUAGCCCAUUAAGAAUUAUUUAUUUAAUAUGUUUAUCUAAUAACUAAUAUUUAUAUUGGUCAACUAAUUAAAUUAAUUUCUCAAUAAAUUAUCUCACUAAUUAAAUAAUUUACUCAUUAAUUAAAAAGUUAAGUUAUAUUUUUUAUUUAAUUAAAAAAUUAAAUAAUUAAUAUAUUUUUCUGUUAUCCUAUAAAAUAUUCAUAGCUAAUAAAAUUUUAAUUUAUUAAAUUAUGUUCAAUUAAUAUUUUGAUAUUAAUUAAUUAGAUAAAAUAUUAUUAAUUUAAAAUAAUAAAUACUUUUAUUCCCACUAUUCCAAUCAAUAAUAAUUACUUUUAUUCCCGCAUUUCAUGAACAACUCAAUUUUAAUCCAAACAAUAAUUUACUCUAGUUCCUGCUAUAUCUGAACUUGUAACUAUUCUUUAAAUAAGUGGUUUUUAUUUAUGCUCAACUUCCUAACUUUUUGGUUUAGAAUAAUAAUCGGAAUUGGAGUAAAUAUUCCUAUUUUUACUAUUUUGUUGAGAUAAAAAAUAAUUUUGAUUAUAAAAAGGAAAUGUUGAAAAUAAAAUUUAAAUUAAAAUACAAAAUACAAAAUAAAAUUUCAAACUGAGUUUAUAAUUCAAAACAUAGAAUUAAAUUUAUAAUUUAAAUUCACUAAAGUUAUAAAAUUUAAUUUAAUUUCAAAUCAAAUGUGCAAAAUUUAAUUGGCAAGAUAAAAUUUAAAACUGAGUUGGUAAUUCAAAACAUACAAUUAAGUUUAUAAUUUAUUCAUACUAAAAUUUAAAUUAAUGUUUGAAAAUUUACAUCAAAAUUUUAAAUAUAAUUUUUUACAAAAUUAAAAUUUAAAAUUGAAUUGACAAUUCAAAACAUAAAACUAAUUUACGAUUUGUCAAAUUCAAACUUAAAAACUACAAUUUAGAUUCCAAUUUGAGUCCAUAAAUAUAAUUUAAAUUUUAAAUAAAAUUUAAAUUUUAGAAUUGAAUGCAAAAUUUGAGUUAAAAUUGAAAUUUAUAAAUCAAAUUCAAAAUGCGUGAUUGAAUAUAUAUUCAAUUUAAAUUCAAAUCAAAAUCUAAAAUUAAAAAUCUAACUUUAAACUUAUAUUUUAAUUAAAAACUAAACUUAAAAAUUUUAAUUUAAUUUCAAAUCAAAUGUGCAAAAUAUAAUUGACAAAAUAAAAUUUAACACUGAGUUGGUAAUUCAAAACAUAAUUAUAAACUAAAAUUUAAAUGUUUAAAAAUUUACAUCAAAAUUUUAAAUAUAAUUUUUUUAAAAAAUUAAAAUUUAAAAUUGAAUCGACAAUUCAAAACAUAAAACUAAUUUACGAUUUGUCAAAUUCAAACUUAAAAACUACAAUUUAGAUUCCAAUUUGAGUCCAUAAAUAUAAUUUAAAUUUUAAAUAAAAUUUAAAUUUUAAGUUUGAAUGCAACAUUUGAGUUAAAAUUGAAAUUUAUAAAUCAAAUUCAAAAUGCAUGAUUGAAUAUACAUUUCAGUUUAAAUUCAAAUCAAAAUCUAAAAUUAAAAAUCUAACUUUAAACUUAUAUUUUAAUUAAAAACUAAAGUUAAAAAAUUUAAUUUAAUUUAUUUCAAAUCAAAAUGUGCCAAAUAUAAUUGAUAUAUUCUUGGAACAAGCUUUCAUUCAUUAAAAAUUGAAUUUUCAAUUGGGCAUGGGAGGCUGGAUUGGAAAAAAGGUUAGAAAAUUCUCAUUCUAUCUGAAAAUCGGAAUUGAAAUAAGACUCUCACAUACCAAAGACACAAAUUGAAUUAUCCAUUUCGAUUCCGAUUUCUUAGUACUAUUUGAUUGACUUAUUAAAAUGGUAAAAUGCACAUGUGGUCCUCAAACUAUAUGGAAGGUGAUACUUUAGUCCUCAAAUUUUAAUUUAUUGUAAUUUUUAGCUUGAAUUUUUAAAAUUAUUGCAAUCAAGUCCUACAAUCUAAUUUAGUUGAUUAAAUUUUGGAAAAAAUUUCAAAUAUCACCCCUGUGGUUUCGCACUUUUUUAUUUUACUACCAUGUGGUUCAAAGUAUAUCAAUUUAGUAUUCCGUGAUUUUAUUUUUCUCCUUUUAUUAUCCCCUAUACAUUUUUUUUAGUUAAGUCAGUAACAAAAUUAAAACUAAAAGAUAUUAAAGUGAAUAUUCGAUAAAACUAGGUGGGAUAUCUGAAGGAUUUUGCAUAUAAUUUAACGGAAUGUUAAUGGAGGAGCUGACGAGAAAAGAAAAAUAAAACCAUAAAGUACUAAAUUGAUACACUUUAAACCAUAGAGUACUAAAUUGAGAAAAUACGAAACCACAGAAGUGGUAUUUGAUGUAAGAUGAGGUGACUAUAAUUAGUUAAUUCGGAUCUGGCAAAAAUUCAGUACAAGUAUUAUACAAAUAAAACUCGUAUCCUAAUUUUUAAAUUCGUUGAAAAAUACAGCUUAAAAGGCAAGUUUGCCAAUUAUUUGGAUACGCAAUUUAUAUGAAAAUUAUAUGUUCACCAAUUAAAAAUUCAGGAUACAAGUUUGACUAUUAAAUUAAACUUUUUUUCUCUAGAUUUAUACUACUAGUAUAAAUAGUUAUAAUUCUUAUGAACAUAAAAUAUAGAGCUAUAAAAUAAAAUAGAUUAUGCAAAAAAAAUCAAUAAUUCGAUAAUAAUUCGUGAAUAAUUUGGCAAAAAUCCGCGAAUUAAUUAACUAUGUUGGAGAAAGGAAUUUUAUCUAAAAAUUCUAUGCGAUUUUUCGGCUGAAUAGCUAGGUACACGCGAAUUAUUCGUGAAUGAAAGAUCUAAUCCAAAAAUUCACAUUUUAUUCGGAUCUUUUGGGAUAAAAAUCACAUACAGACUGUUUUAUUUGGAUUUUCAAUAAUCUGCAAAUAAUUCAUGAAUAAUUCACAAGUUAACUAACUUUUGAUGUGACAUCUUAAUUACUAGCGCAACAUCAAUCACAACACUACUGUAUCAUCUCUAUAUUAGCGAUAUAUAAAUAUUUAGUCAACUACAUUAGAAUUUAAAACUUGAUUGCGAUAUUCUUAAAGUUCGAGACAAAAAUUACGACGAAUAAAAGUUCAGGACGGAGGUGU
rnacentral:lncRNA from 1 species